AUUGAACGCUGGCGGCAGGCCUAAAACAUGCAAGUCGAGCGAGCGGCGGACGGGUGAGUAAUGUAUGGGGACUGCCCGCUAGAGGGGGAUAACUACUGUAAACGUUGGAUAAUACCGCAUACUAUCGGAUCACCCAUAGGGGAUUAGCUAGUAGGUGUGGUAAAGGCUCACCUAGGCGACUAUCUAUAGCUGGUCUGAGAGGAUGAUAAGACACACUGCGACUGAGACACGGCCCAGACUCCUACGGAGGCAGUAGUGGGUAAUAUUGCACAAUGGGCGCAAGUCUGAUGAAGCCAUGCCGCGUGUAUGAAGGAGGCCUUAGGGUUGUAAAGUACUUUCAGCGGGGAGGCGUUACCAGCAGAAGAAGCAACGGCUAACUCCGUGCCAGCAGCCGCGGUAAUUC
rnacentral:rRNA from 1 species